GUAUCGGUAUGUAUCGUGUCGAUGCCUACCGAUACGGAUACGUAUCGGCCGAUUUGGCACGAUACGCACCGAUACUUAAAACCAUGCUCUUAAGCUUUCCUUAUUGAUUGCAUCAUUUAUUUCCCCAUCUCAAACAGUUCUAUUAUUUUAUGGCAAAAGGUUUUGUGCAUGGCCAUCCAUGAUGCAUGGCUAUACAACCAUUGGAUGGGGGACGAGGAUCUACAGUGCACCCUCCUUACCGCCUUCCAACGGCUGUGUGCGUGAUUGUGCACCAUGCACGACUGUGCAUAAAACCACUCCCCUUGUUUUAUUGUUAACAAUUAUCUUCAAAUUUUGAAUUUCAGAAGUGGGAGACUCUGUCAGUAGAAACUGUAGCAGUUGCCAGAUUGCCUCCUGGAUGGGUGGAGGCAAAAGACCCUGGAAGUGGUUCCGUGUAUUAUUAUAAUGGAAGUACAGGGAAAAGUCAAUGGGAGAUCCCAGUUGAGUCUGCUACUGUUCCACAAAGCCCAACGCCUUUACCACUGCCACAAGAUUGGGAAGAGGCAUUAGAUGAGACAACAGGU